rnacentral:rRNA from 1 species
UACGUAGGGUCCGAGCGUUGUCCGGAAUUACUGGGCGUAAAGAGCUCGUAGGUGGUUUGUCGCGUUGUUCGUGAAAACUCACAGCUCAACUGUGGGCGUGCGGGCGAUACGGGCAGACUAGAGUACUGCAGGGGGAGACUGGAAUUCCUGGUGUAGCGGUUGGAAUGCGCAGAUAUCAGGAGGAACACCGGUGGCGAAGGCGGGGUCUCUGGGCAGUAACUGACGCUGGAGGAGCGAAAAGCGUGGGGGAGCGAACAGG